rnacentral:pre_miRNA from 1 species
UAUCUACUCCCUCCGUUCGGAAUUACUUGUCUCGGAAAUGGAUGUAUCUAGAACUAAAAUACAUCUAGAUACAUCCAUUUCUGCGACAAGUAAUUCCGAACGGAGGGAGUACUCU